CGUCUAUUGUUGGCCCUGGAGGAACUGGAGCAUCUAUUGCUUAAAUACUUUUAAAAGUUAGUUUCAUGAUGAAACUUGUGACUAUCAUACUUAAUUUAAUUUUAAAAAUACUGUUUUACCUAUAGGGUCCUCAACAGCUGGUUGUAUAACUACUGGCGGUUCUCUAAAUACUGGACCGUCUAUUGUUGGCUCUGGAGGAAAUGGAGCGUCUAUUGUUGGCUCUGGAGGAACUGGAGCAUCUAUUGGAUUUACCAUAAAAUGUCCAUAAUGGUGGAUGAACUCCUAAGUAGCCAAGUAAAGAUGCGUGGAAUGAUUCUACAAAGUUAUUUGUCCGGUGAUCUGAUCCGUGAACAGAAAAUCUUUCUGGACCUACCACACCCAUCCAAUACCGAUCAAAAUAAUUGAAGACUGGUCGUAAUUCUUCAAAUACUUGUUGCUGUAUUGCAAUCGCCCUUAUCAUCAUCAGCCCAUCGGAUAUCGUAAAUCCUCUAACAUUGGGAUAUGCAUUUCCAUUUGCAGGUAGAUGUGGAAGAGCUAGUAACUUAACAAAAAUAUUAUAUAAUAGGUAUAUAAUUUAACCACAUUACAUUUCUUAUAAUAAUUUCAUUACCAAGCGAACUAUAUUUCUACUAGUAACAUUUGUUCUUAUAAUAUUUCUCAAUCCAAGUUGUUGUAUGUGUCUUAAUACAGCCUGUACAAAAAUAGUAUAGAAUAAUAUCUUGUUUGUGAGCACAAAUAAUACAAUGAAAGUAUUUUAGAUUAUUACCUGAUUGAAGUGAAAAGAACAACCCACUUGAUGCCAUUCAGGGAAUACUGUUCUUAUGGCGUUACGAAGACCAGUUUCAAAAUCGGUAAUAACUUGAACUGGUACUUCAUGAGAAUAGGGCAGUUCAAGACUUAAAAUGUACCGCAUAACACAUACAUAUGCUGCUUGUGUAUGACGAGUUAAACAAGCAUAAGCCACUGGGAAACUCUAAACAUUAUUAUAAAUUUUCCAAAUAUGUUAAUUUGAAGUAAGUAAGUCUACAAAAAUAUGUGAAACAAAAUGUAUUAUUACCAUGUUAUUAAAUAUAAUGUGUACAGUAAGUAGUUGACGUAAAUCAGUAGGAUUAUUGGGAAGACAUUGAAAAGUACCAUCUACUGCUACAUUUGAUACAUUUAUACCAUUUUGCCGCAGUGUUGUCACUAUUUCUGUGUUGAAAAAUAUGAUGCCAUAAAACAAACCUUCGAUUGUCAAUAAUUGAUAAAAUAUUAUACUUACGGUUUCCAAUGGUAUUCUCGUAUCUCUGCCUCCAUUCUUCAGAGAUAAUCAUAGCACCCCAUUCUCUUGUUGUGCUUGGUACUGAUGGUUGGUGCCCACGUCUCGCUCUGUACAUCGUCCUUGCUGCUUGCAAAUAGGUAUACGUCCUUGCUGCCUCCGGAAACCUAAUUAUUGAAUAUUAUGUAUAGUGUACAGCUCUCUGUCUCAAUGAACGAAUAAAAGCCGUUUGGUUGUCAUUAUUAUGUUCUACAAGUCUCUGUGGAACACAUGUAUGAGGUCUUGUUAGUUUAAAAUCACUAUUGUCUUGUCUUAUGCUGCCUCUGCCUCGACAUUGGGAAUUGAAAUAAUUUGUGCAUCUCAAUUGUCUGUUUCGUUAUGGCUGUAAUAUUGGAAAUUUAAGCUAUCAAUAUAUAUGUUGGAUCGCCCAUGAACUCCUGGCACCAUACGAACACCAUUCCGAUUACCUAUAGUU
rnacentral:lncRNA from 1 species